UGGGGAAUAUUGCACAAUGGGCGCCAGCCUGAUGCAGCCAUGCCGCGUGUAUGAAGAAGGCCUUCGGGUUGUAAAGUACUUUCAGCGAGGAGGAAGGCGUUGUGGUUAAUAACCGCAGCGAUUGACGUUACUCGCAGAAGACGCACCGGCUAACUCCGUGCCAGCAGCCGCGGUCAUACGGAGGGUGCAAGCGUUAAUCGGAAUUACUGGGCGUAAAGCGCACGCAGGCGGUCUGUCAAGUCGGAUGUGAAAUCCCCGGGCUCAACCUGGGAACUGCAUCCGAAACUGGCAGGCUAGAGUCUUGUAGAGGGGGGUAGAAUUCCAGGUGUAGCGGUGAAAUGCGUAGAGAUCUGGAGGAAUACCGGUGGCGAAGGCGGCCCCCUGGACAAAGACUGACGCUCAGGUGCGAAGGCGUGGGGAGCAAACA
rnacentral:rRNA from 1 species